CAGUUAAAACCUGCACUGUACAAUCAAUAGUUUAAUCUAUGUAUAUUAGUAACAUAUCGCAUCAAAUCGAAACUUGAUUGGCUUUGGAACAUUCAGACAGAUGAGAAUAUGAGAUCUGAUAAAGAAAACUCGACUGUCGACCAGCCAGUUAUUGCUGAUCAAUAGACUAGUGAAAGGGCGACCGACUGGCUACACAAUGGUCCAAUUUUAUUGAAGGGGCGUUGAUAUUUUGGAUUAAUUGUUUAGUCUUGUAAAGUUGCUCGGACAUUAAAAACUUGGUAUCAGUUGUUUGCGGACAGUCAAAGAGACGGAAGGAAAACCAACGGCUUUGAAAGACCGACAAAUGGAAAAUAAAAGCUGGAUGGCCAUGUCAAGUUUGAUUCUAAAGAUAUAUAUUGGUAGUGAAAAUAAAUGACUAUAACUCAAAUUCGGGCCGACAACGGCACUCGCCUCGCCAAAAUUAUCAUGGGGCUCGUCCUAUUAUUUCCAUAAGUAUAAGCAUGAUGGUAUGCAUCUGAUGAGGAUAAGAUAGAUAAAAUGGAUAAGGAACUUGACGAUGAGGAGACCCGGAAUUGGGUAAAGGUCUGUCUUGCUCUACGCUGUCUGACAAAGAGCCUUGUUUCAUAUAUAAAAAAGAAAAGUGUAGAUCAGUACUCUAAUAACGUAACAUUUUUGACAAAAUGUGUUCGUGUACCUGAAUAUACUUGUUCGAGCUGUAAUCUGAAAACAUUGGAGCCGUAUCACUCUCAGAGAACGCCUUGUAAAUAUUUACAUGUAAAGUAUAAAUGUGCAUGUAGUGCUUCAGGAAAACAACAAUGUCCAGAAAAAACGUGUGGAAAGAUAUAUGAUCUUAUUAAGGAUGAGCAUGUCGAAAACAACCCGAACUGGUUGAACUCAAAAUCGGAACUGUGGUCUGACAAGCAAUCCGGGCCUUGGGAAAGGAUGAAGUGCUUUAUUGAUACACAAGGAUACAACGACAAAUCAGAUAUAUUCCUGGCAGAUAUCUCGGCAUUAGUACAAAUUUGCACAAACAAUGGUAAUUUGGUGCGGGAAAUUGGAUCUACUAAUCUAAGCUAUCUACAGAAGUUAGAAACAAACGAGCAGCGAAUAACUGUAGAAGACGAAAUAGGAGCCAGAGAAGAAACGCUUGUUUCAGUCAAAGAACUUAUAAUCUCAUUAGAGAAACAGCUUGAACAAAUUCAGUCGCUUAAUGAUGCACACUCAAAAUCGAAUACUGAAAAUAUAAAAGAGGAAAUAGCGCAGUUAACUAUGAUUGAAAAGCAGCAUUUUCGACAAAUAAAUGAACGUUCAAAUAGAAAGACAUUUGGAAUUAUUGCAAAACGAAUACUUGAAGACAAAAGAGAUGUUAAGUAAACACAAAAUGAAAUUAGGGAGCAUAGAUUGCACUUUACGGAUGCACACGAAGGAAUUAUGCAAUAUUUCACAGAAAGUGACGAAUGUGGAAAAGGAUAUGAAACCAAUUCUUGAAAAAACUGCACGGAGCAUGGAAGUUGUUGAAAGAUUGGAACAGAAAUUCGACGAAUUUGGAAGACAGUUGAAGCGUUUUGAUGCUCCAGAUGGUGUUCAAAUAAAAUAUGUCAAAAGUGAGUGCAUGGCGAUAUAUUGUGAAUAUCCAAAUAUGAAGAGUUGGUUAGCAUUUCUACGCAAAUAUUUGAAUAGAGAAUUCGACCAAAUAUUUUUACCGGUUCAAAAUCACUUGAGGGCCUACAUUGGAUACGAAGAUCUGGAGUUGAAUGUGGCGAUCUAUGAUGAAGACUUCGCAAUAUCUGUCCAGUCGAUAUUCUAUCAGCUGGACACACAAUUGACGGAUGCUGUCCUCAUUGCAGCGCCACUGCCAUUAGAUGAAACUCCAUUAGACAGUAAGAAGAACGCAUGCACUAUAAUAUUGAAGUUUUUGUCUAAUAUAUGCUGAUUCUAGAUUUAUCUGGAAGUAACCUAAUUGAUUUAUUUACGCACAUUCGUAGACAACAUAUUUUGCACAGAUUUAAGGCAAAUUAAUAUAAAAACAAAUUGUAUAAUUGUAUUUGUUCAGCAUUUCGUUUUUAUUUUAUCAGGUGCCAAAGUAUAAAGGAAAAUACAUGUUUAUUUUUUUCAAAACACUUUAAAGAUACCCAAGUAACAGCUUUUUUAUAAACAGAUAACGAUUCCGUAUUUCUAAGAAGACAAUUAUAUGAGAGACGAACAGAUAUAGCAUUAAUAUGUGUGUUUUACUAUGUGUGUUAAAGUCAAAUGGUACUAAAAGUGUAUUACAUUAUCUUUAGAAAAACAACCUUCUGAGUAUUUUUACAUUUAGAUUCGUUUUCACAACAUUCAAAUAUAUGAAAUUAUAUGAGAAUAUGUGGCGUGUAAAUUAAUAUAACACAGCGAGUGAUUUACGUGUAUUAUAGGUCAAAACCACUAUUUGUUACUGUUUAUGUAGGUUAAAAAACACUACAUUUUAACUGUUUUAGUCCAUUUUUCAGGUUUUAGUUCCUCAAAUUUUUACUCAAAUGAAAUAAUUUUCAAAAUAGAAGUCUAACUAUUGAAUUAAAAACACACAAAGGGGUUUCCUGAUUUAAUUGAAACAUGAACAUUUUUUAAUGACGACUUUUAGUGAGAUUUCAGGAACAAUUUACGAAAUCAAACACAAAACUGCUGAUUUCUGGAAUAAUUUGAUAAAUUAGAUUUAUAACACAUGUGAUCACAAUAAUUAUAACAACUGUUUUCAUCAUUAUCGUGAUCACAUGUGUCAUUAAUCUAACUAUAUCAAAUUAUUCCAGAAAUAAUUCUUCAAUUAAAACAGGAGACCCUUUUGUGUGUUUUUAAUACAAUAGUUAGACUACUAUUUUGAAAAUUAUUUCAGUUGAGUAAAAAUUCGAGGAACUAUAUAUGCGAACAAUAUUUGAUUAU